GUGGGGAAUAUUGGACAAUGGGCGAAAGCCUGAUCCAGCCAUGCCGCGUGUGUGAAGAAGGUCUUCGGAUUGUAAAGCACUUUAAGUUGGGAGGAAGGGCAGUAAGUUAAUACCUUGCUGUUUUGACGUUACCGACAGAAUAAGCACCGGCUAACUUCGUGCCAGCAGCCGCGGUAAUACGAAGGGUGCAAGCGUUAAUCGGAAUUACUGGGCGUAAAGCGCGCGUAGGUGGUUUUGUAAGUUGGAGGUGAAAUCCCCGGGCUCAACCUGGGAACUGCCUCCAAAACUGCAUGACUAAAGUACGGUAGAGGGUAGUGGAAUUUCCUGUGUAGCGGUGAAAUGCGUAGAUAUAGGAAGGAACACCAGUGGCGAAGGCGACUACCUGGACUGAUACUGACACUGAGGUGCGAAAGCGUGGGGAGCAAACAGGAUUAGAAACCCCUGUAGUCC
rnacentral:rRNA from 1 species